UGGGAUAUUGCUCAGUGGUAGAGUGCUUGUCUAGUAUACAGGAAGUCCUGGGUUCAAUCCCAACACUACAA
rnacentral:tRNA from 1 species